CCUUACGUUUCUGUUUUGAAUUGUGAGUGAAGAAAGCCUUAUCUUUUGGGGAAGAUGAAUGCUCCAUUUAUUUUACUGAGUUCUUAACUCUGAAGCCUUUUGCGUGGGGGGGAGAGACUAACACCACCACAGAAGAGGACUCUGGGUGAUGGGACUGCCACUCCAUGGUGGCUCGGCAGGGGUGAUUAUCAGAAGGGGACCUCCUCCCCAACUCUGAGUUGGCCAGUCGUCUGCUUGUGUGGCUGGGAGCUGAGUCUUCAUUCCUUUGGGACUCCGGACUGCCUGAAGACAGGAAGUGUUGGACUGAAGAGGCCAUACCAACUCCCCAUCUCAAACUCAUCCAUGGAGUGGGCUAGGUGCACUGUAUGGAACAAUCUGCUCCAUUGUACUUUGAUGGAGUAGAUUGCUUCUAUCCUGUGCACACCCUGAGACCUCCCAGGAGAGAUUGUGCACUAUCCCCCACACCAGGAAGUGGCACAAAUGCCGCAGUCUAGCCCAAAGAGACAUUUUUUAACACUGGCUGUGCAAUAGUUCUUGUUCAUUCCAAUGUUUUCUGUCUUCUUAUUCUGUUUCUUUUAAAUUACAUUUCUGACACUUAAAUCUAAGCAAACAGACUGAAAAUCCAGAAAAUCGGAUGAAGCAGAAUAUUUAAGAUUCAGUUUUGGAACAAGGAAAAAUAUCCUGGAAAUCCUGGGGAUACUUCGAAGCACUCUCUUGAGGUAGAGGGUUGUAUUUUAAAGAUGGUUUUCAGUGCAGGUUUCACUCUAACUCAAAAUGUUAAAUCACCGUUUUGAUAAGGGCUCAAAAUUAGCUAUAGUCAAACAAUGCCAAUGAUCUUUCUCAGGAUUUUUUUACAAUUAGUUUUAUUAAAAUUUCCUGUGAUUUGUGUGUGUGGGGGGGAGUUGAUGAAAAACAUGCCACUUUUCAGUAAAAAAAGUUUGGCUUUUGAUAACAUUUUUUAUGUUUAAUAAUCAAAACCAGAUACUUUUACAGUAAGCUAAAAAAUGUCACCAAAAGCAAUUUCUAGUUCCGGAGAUUCUUUUUGACCAACAGUUCUGUGAAAAUUUUCAUUUUAGUCAAAAGGCCGUUUUUGUUCAAAAAAGUGUUCUGACAAAAAAAUUCUGACCAGCUGUAAUCACAAUAUAGAGAGGGCAUGAGAACAGAGAGGAGGUACUGUGAACAACAUAAAAAUAACCCAGGGCACAAAAAGUUUCUCUCUUUCAACACAUAUAGAAUACACUUUUGAUUCAGAUGGAUAAGCUAUACAAAUGCACGUACACUGCUGACACUUUUACAGGGGAAUGGAGAGGCUAACUCUUUAAUACAGGAACUGUGAUUGAUUCACUUUCAUUGUAUCAAUGUUCAAAUAUGCUUUUUUCCACGUAUGAGAAAUGAUAAUGUAAUCAAGGCCAAUGCUGAACUGCAAAGUCCAGCCCCCCCAGCUCAAUGGUUUGUGUUAUUUGUAAAUAUAACAGUAACAAAGAUCCACAGGUCUAUUACUCCCUGUCUCUUGAUUUCCCUGUUUUAUUUUGUGCCCCUUAUCGAUACUCUUCAGAGCUCAGGGCUGAAACAACAUAAUGGGAGCUUGGAAGCAUUGUCUGCAUCUCAACUAGGGUCUUGGCAUUUGGUAACAACACCAGGGUGUCUCCCCCCCACCACUCCGAGCAAAACAGCUUGGGAGUGUUUGAGCAUGAAGUGUUGUCAGAGAACUUGUAGUUGACCUGGCCCUGACCCCUAUUGCAGAAUUACAAGAUAUUAGUACUGGGGAGUCCAAAGAUCUAGACACAAGAAGAAGAAAAACUAAAUGAAAAGCAAAAAUAAAGGGGAAACAUGCUUAAUUUUCUAUCAGCUAAUAGCUGAAUUUUACUCUAAAUGCUCCAUAAUAAUCUGCUUAAUAAUUAAUAUUAAUUGUUAAACAGUUGCUGCAUAAUCCUGAGAUAUCUUUCUUUCAUGUUAUGUUUAUGCUCUGCAUGACUGUACAAAAUCCUCUUCAUGUCCUGCAAGCUUCUCUGAGGUAAGGCUCAUGAGACACCUUAGUAUCACAAUGAGGCGGAUGAUAAUGAUUGAAGAGAAGGGGAGCUGCUGUUGACUAUUGAGGCACUCCAGGAAACAGUGGAAGAAGGUCUGACAAGGUGCUCUUGAAAGAAACCCUUUGAAAAUGAUGAAGGAGGAGGAGUGUGGAGAAGACAAAGCGUCAAAACGGCAGAGUUUGAGUUGAGCCAUUAAAAGUCAAAGAAAGUGUUUGUGUGUUUUGAGGGCAUGGAGAAAAGGAUGGACACCAGUAGAUGUCAUUGGACUGGAGAUGGAGGUGAAUGCCCCCAGGGGAUGAGAUUGCUGUCUCCAUUAUGGAUUAAGGAAAAGGCAGCUACCCUACUAAACCCCAAAUAAAAAGAAUAUUGAAUUUACACAGAGGAAAUGGUGGAUCAUAGGGGCUCAAGCUGCAAAAUGGAGGACUCAUCAGGAAGAAAAGAAUGUCAAUAAGAUGUCCAAGCAGCACAUUUGCAGGCGAUUGUGCUACUUCCAGUGUGGUUUAAGUCUCUUGGCCUUUGGACAAAUGCCUCAUCAUAACACCACCCGAGAUACCUGCAUUCUGCUUGAAUCAAAGCACUGAGACUUGAUAGAGAGGUCCAUUACCACCAACUGUGAUGAUUCAUUUUUGCAGUGCAGUGAACUUCAGCCCUAUGCUGGGGGCUGACUUCAAACCUGUUCGCUGCUAAAGUCUGACGUAAGUGCUAUGUUGGGAAGGACUUUAGUGGGGUAUAUACUUUGCACUGGCCCUGUGCACAGAGGUAAAGUUUACCCUAAAUGAUUAUCCACUCAGGACAGAUUAAAUUGAGUUCUCAUUAUAAACCUGGAAAGGAUUCCCUAGGGGCAAGCAGUCUCUUCUUUGGUUGUCCCAAAGUCCCAGCCAGGUAUCUGGAGGAAAUAUCCCCAAGAUGUUAUUCUUUAUUAAUAUUAGUAUUUAUUUAAAAUUUGUAUUGCAAUAAUGCCUAGAAGCCCCAAUUAGGAUCAGUGCCCCAGUGUGCUAGGUGUUAUAUAAACAUAUAUGAAGAUACUGUCCCUACCCCAAGAAGUCUAAAAUCGCAGCCCCAUCCUCCUAUUGCCUGUUUCUUUUCAAUUAGAAAUAUCUGAGUGUGAAGCUGAGCUUUUAGAAAAUAUUAUUUAUAAUAAAAAACACCCCCCCCAUCCAUAUUUUCUUCACCACAAUUUUUUGUGCCCUUCCUUUGUGUCUUUGACACACAACAAGUUGAGUGGUCUGAGCUGAAUUGUGCCUCUUUAAUACAAGAAAUAACAGCAGACCUAGCAGAAAGCAUGGAUUUUCCUUUAUUAUGAACUCAGCAUAUAACAUGUUAGAAAAAUGAACAUAUGCCAACCUAAGCAGACUGAAUUUCUUUCACAUUUCUCAAGUAACUUUACCUAAUCCUUUCUGCAAUCCUUUUAAAUAAAACCUUUCCUUGGU